rnacentral:rRNA from 1 species
GACGAACGCUGGCGGCGUGCCUAAUACAUGCAAGUCGACCGCAGUGGGGACGGGUGAGUAACACGUGGGUAACCUCCCAUCAGAGGGGAUAACACUUGGCAACAGGUGCUAAACCGAUACUGAUUGAUGGACCCGCGGUGCAUUAGCUAGUUGGUGGGGUAAAGGCUCACCAAGGCGACGAUACAUAGCGGAAGGGAGAGGGGGAUCGGCAACACUGGGACUGAGACACGGACCAGACUCCUAAGGGAGGCAGCAGUAGGGAAGAUUCGGCAAGGGAAGGAAGGCGGACCGAGCAACGCCGAGGGAGUGAAGAAGGUUUUCGGAGCGGAAAGCGCUGUUGUUAGAGAAGCGGUAACUAACCAGAAAGGGACGGAUAACUACGGGCCAGCAGCCGCGGUAAUGC